GAUCCUGGCUCAGAUUGAACGCUGGCGGCAUGCCUUACACAUGCAAGUCGAACGGUAACAGGUCUUCGGACGCUGACGAGUGGCGAACGGGUGAGUAAUACAUCGGAACGUGCCCAGUCGUGGGGGAUAACUACUCGAAAGAGUAGCUAAUACCGCAUACGAUCUGAGGAUGAAAGCGGGGGGACCUUCGGCCGUCGCGCGAUUGGAGCGGCCGGACUGGCAGAUUAGGUAGUUGGUGGGAGUAAAG
rnacentral:rRNA from 1 species